UUAGUAUUAAAAAAAUAAUUAUUGCAUCUGUUUAAUAUUAAAAAAAUAAUUAGUGCAUCUGUUUAAUAUUAAGCAUAGCCACAUGUAAAACAUUACUAGAUAAUAUGACAUCAAAUGCGUUACCCUGCAGGAAAUGAAAUCAUUUGUAUUUUUUUUUUUUUUUGCUCAUUUGGUUCAGGUUUUUUUGUAUCAGUUUGUGUUCAGAAGUAUUAUUUUUCACAGAUCUCUUGAAAUGUAAUAUUGUACUAGAUAUAUUCAAUAUAUUUGAUUUUUAUGAAUGAAAAAAUAGGAAAAGUUAAUGCUGUGUAUGAAUUCAUUGAUGGAUUGUCUUUUGUAGUAUUAAUGUUUUUAUGUUUUGUUUGUGGAUUCAAACAAUUCAUUUAUAACAUGUUUAAAAAUACCAUUGAGUGGUCAUUCUUUUUUAUAACAGAUAUAUUUGUCAUUCAUCAUGUUCAUUUUCAUUAUAAUUAGGAGGUAAAUUGAGUUUAAAAUUACCAUUAUUAUAAUUGGCAGUUGUCCUGUGAAGUCAUUUAAGGGAAAAUUCAGUAAAAUCCAUCUCAAUCAUAUCACGAUAUCAUGUUAUAUUGGGAGUUUCAUGACUACACACAUUUUUUUAGUCGAAUAAAGGACAUACAGUGGUAUUUUUAAAUGCAGGCUAAAUUCACAGUUUGAAAGAAGACCCUAUUAAACAAAAAUAUAAAAUUCAGCAUGUUUCAUUAUAAGGAAAGCUGAUGGUGUUUUGUUAACCAUGGCAAAACCAAUUAUUGAUCUUCUACAUCUAAAAUAUUUCUGUAUUAUUGUUGAUGUGAUCAUGAGAUUAAUUGGUAAUUUUGUUGUUGUAAAUGAAUGCAUAAUAAUGAAAUAUCUAUGACAUCGAUAUACGUUACUAUUUUAUUUAUAAGUAAAUAUAUAGGUAAAAAAUGAUAUGAUCUUGACAUUUUAACUGUGUUAUAACUAUUUAUGCAUACUUCAUGAAUGAGGAUACUUUAAUUUCUGAUAUUUUUGCCAGAUGUUCAAUUUGCUAAUUUAAUAUCCAAGGCAAAAUACCUAAUACAUUCCUUAAGUACAUUUUAUCAAAAUAUAUAAAGGGAUUAGAAAAAGCAUAAAAACUUCUUGACAAGCUUUUGCAUUUGAAAUGCAAUGUAUACAAACUGCAAAAAAUGAGAUUGAAAGGAGGUCAUUUGCCAUGAAUUCUAGAUUGACUUAUUCUAAUAAUUUCAUAUUACAAUUUUAAUGGCCAUUCUUGAAAAUGUCCUUCUCUGAAAUCAGCUAAUAUAAUUUUCUUUUUCACUUAAAUAGGUUGUACUUUUGCAGUAAAUAAUCUGAUUUUUUCCUGCUGAAAGUUUCUAUUAAUUCACUAAUAUGACCACCAGAGAUCACAAUAUUAAUGAAUUAUGUUGAUAUUUUGUUUGUAAAUACAUGUAUUGUGUUCUCAGUACUGAGUCCAUGGUUUUGAAAUAAUUGUGUUGAUAUUUCUGUGUAUAUAUCUGUUUAUAUAUAGCUAUAUGAGGUGAAUCUCUUUAAAAUAUAUCUUUUAUUGGUAAAGUACUAUAUGACAGUAAAUAAAGAAAAUUUUUAAAAGUAAUCAAUACUUCGAGACAAUCUUUAGAAAAGAAUUUAAAAAAAAUGAAUUUAUCCAAAUUGUGUAAGAAUCUCAGAAGAAUUUGAUUUAAACGGAGUAAGAUUAAACGUGUUUCAAAUUUAUUUAUUUUACACAAUCAUAAAAAAAAUCAUAACAUUUACCAGGCAUUUUCAUUUAUUGUGUUUAUUUUUGUUUAUUACUGUCUAUUUCUAAGAGUUGACUAUGUGUUGUAAAUUACAAAAAAAGAUUAACUUUAAGUAUAUAUUGUGGAUUCAUUUGUUUUCAUGGGUACCAAUUUUAAUGAAUUAAGGGAAAUUUGUAAUUUCGUGGACAUUUGAUUCAUGGAAUUACUGAAGUCAGCAUUCAAGCAUAUCUAAAAAUGUAUACUUCUUUGAACAUUUAAAUUCAUGGCUCAUGUUUACAAACGAAAAUUGGUACCCCUUAAAUAAAAAUUAAUCCACACUAAAUAACAUGUAUAUUACAUGUUUUGAUUUAAAUUCAAAUGGUGAAAGUGCUUUAUGAUUAUUCCGAUUGCUUGUUUUUCUAAUAUGUUAACAUUAUAUACUGUAUUAUUGAUGUCUUGUGCUGUGGUGGGAACAGAUAAUAACUACUGUAGAAACAUUAUUUUUCGUUGGGUUAAAAUUUCUUGGUUUUGUCUCUACUUAAGAUUUCAUGUGGAUUUAAUUUCGUGGUUUCCAUUAAAUAGAAGUGAUAAUA
rnacentral:lncRNA from 1 species